AUGUCAUGGUGAGGAUAUUUUCUCCAAAGCUCUUUAAAUCUUUUCCAAGCAUCAGGAAUUGUCUCAUUGUCCAUUUGUAUAGAAAGACAAAUUUUGUUUAUGGACUU